rnacentral:rRNA from 1 species
GUUAAGUGACUAAGCGUACACGGUGGAUGCCUUGGCAGUCAGAGGCGAUGAAGGACGUAGUAACUUGCGAUAAGCGUAGAUGAGGCAGUAACAGCCACUUGAGUCUACGAUUUCCGAAUGGGGAAACCCACUGGCAUAAGCCAGUAUCAUUGAGUGAAUACAUAGCUCAAUGAAGCGAACCGGGAGAACUGAAACAUCUAAGUACCCCGAGGAAAAGAAAUCAACCGAGAUUCCGAAAGUAGCGGCGAGCGAAAUUGGAUUAGCCCUUAAGCUUUACAUGUGUUAGACGAACGGUCUGGAAAGUCCGACGAUACAGGGUGAUAGUCCCGUAGUUGACGAUGCAUGUUCAGUGAAAUCGAGUAGGGCGGGACACGUGUUAUCCUGUCUGAAUAUGGGGGGACCAUCCUCCAAGGCUAAAUACUCCUGACUGACCGAUAGUGAACCAGUACCGUGAGGGAAAGGCGAAAAGAACCCCUGUGAGGGGAGUGAAAUAGAACCUGAAACCGUGUACGUACAAGCAGUAGGAGCACCUUCGUGGUGUGACUGCGUACCUUUUGUAUAAUGGGUCAGCGACUUAUAUUCAGUGGCAAGGUUAACCAUCUAGGGGAGCCGUAGGGAAACCGAGUCUUAACUGGGCGCCAUAGUCUCUGGAUAUAGACCCGAAACCGAGUGAUCUAGCCAUGGGCAGGUUGAAGGUUGAGUAACAUCAACUGGAGGACCGAACCGACUAAUGUUGAAAAAUUAGCGGAUGACUUGUGGCUAGGGGUGAAAGGCCAAUCAAACUCGGAGAUAGCUGGUUCUCCCCGAAAGCUAUUUAGGUAGCGCCUCGGACGAAUACUACUGGGGGUAGAGCACUGUUAAGGCUAGGGGGUCAUCCCGACUUACCAACCCUUUGCAAACUCCGAAUACCAGUAAGUACUAUCCGGGAGACACACGGCGGGUGCUAACGUCCGUCGUGGAGAGGGAAACAACCCAGACCGCCAGCUAAGGUCCCAAAUUACAGCUAAGUGGGAAACGAUGUGGGAAGGCUUAGACAGCUAGGAUGUUGGCUUAGAAGCAGCCAUCAUUUAAAGAAAGCGUAAUAGCUCACUAGUCGAGUCGGCCUGCGCGGAAGAUGUAACGGGGCUAAGUUGUAAACCGAAGCUGCGGCAAUGUUCUAUGAACAUUGGGUAGGGGAGCGUUCUGUAAGCCGUUGAAGGUGUGUUGUAAAGCAUGCUGGAGGUAUCAGAAGUGCGAAUGCUGACAUGAGUAACGACAAGGGGGGUGAAAAACCUCCCCGCCGGAAGACCAAGGGUUCCUGUCCAACGUUAAUCGGGGCAGGGUA